rnacentral:rRNA from 1 species
UACAGAGGGUGCAAGCGUUGUUCGGAAUUACUGGGCGUAAAGAGUGUGUAGGCGGUGCUCUAAGUUCGGUGUGAAAUCUCCUGCUUAACUGGGAGGGUGCGCCGGAAACUGGAGUGCUCGAGCGUGGGAGAGGAAAGCGGAAGUUCCUGGUGUGAGCGGUGAAAUGCGUAGAUAUCAGGAGGAACACCUGUGGUGUAGACGGCUUUCUGGACCAUAGCUGACGCUGAGACACGAAAGCGUGGGUAGCAAACAGG